AUUGAACGCUGGCGGCAGGCCUAACACAUGCAAGUCGGGCGGAUGAAGGGAGCUUGCUCCUGGAUUCAGCGGCGGACGGGUGAGUAAUGCCUAGGAAUCUGCCUGGUAGUGGGGGAUAACGUCCGGAAACGGGCGCUAAUACCGCAUACGUCCUGAGGGAGAAAGUGGGGGAUCUUCGGACCUCACGCUAUCAGAUGAGCCUAGGUCGGAUUAGCUAGUUGGUGGGGUAAAGGCCUACCAAGGCGACGAUCCGUAACUGGUCCGAGAGGAUGAUCAGUCACACUGGAACUGAGACACGGUCCAGACUCCUACGGGAGGCAGCAGUGGGGAAUAUUGGACAAUGGGCGAAAGCCUGAUCCAGCCAUGCCGCGUGUGUGAAGAAGGUCCUCGGAUUGUAAAGCACUUUAAGUUGGGAGGAAGGGCAGUAAGUUAAUACCUUGCUGUUUUGACGUUACCAACAGAAUAAGCACCGGCUAACUUCGUG
rnacentral:rRNA from 1 species